AUAUGUUUAAUGAUUUAUCAAAGAAUUAAAAGAUUACCAAGUACUCUUCAAUGGAUGUUCAUUUGAUUCUAGUAACCCUCUGUGAAGAAUGCAGAUUGAGCUCUUUUAAAAAAGCAUCAGAAAUCAAACUCAAAUGCAAGUGUUUGUCUAUGACCAUCCAAGUGAUAAAAGGACUAUGCUGUAGCUGCUGGUGGAAAAGAUGUACGAUGCAUUCCUGUUCCCCAUUUUGUGAAGGUCCAAAACAGGAAAGGAAACCCCUGAGAGAACAUUUCUUGAAUACCUACUAUGCUUCCAGUUAAAAAAUGAAAAUAUGAAACCUGCCCAUGAAUUUGGCUCAUUGUGAAAGACUGAAGCUGACCCCUGAACUUCUCUGGCUUCCUAUCUCUGGUGUGAGUGUUCUGUCUCCUACACCCUGGCACUGUGACACCAUGGACAAUGCAUAUCCCAUUCAAGUGGACCUCACCAGAGGUCAUGUGGAUUGGGUCACCUGAUCUUGGACUCUCAGUCAAAAAAACUGUGAGCUAAAUAAACAUCUCUUUUAGGACACACAAAGCAUCAUGUGUUUUGUCAUAG
rnacentral:lncRNA from 1 species